rnacentral:tRNA from 1 species
GCCGCAGUAGCUCAGUGGUAGAGCGCACCCUUGGUAAGGGUGAGGCCGGCAGUUCAAUCCUGCCCUGCGGCACCA